UAAGAAAAAAGUUUUAAAAAAGUUUCAUCAACAGCCCAAUCAAAAAGAAAGAGAAAAUAAAGGCCUCAGAUCUGUAGAUCCCUAGUGGCAACCGGAAUGAAUUUUAAGAUUUCUAGUGCUCUUUUGAUAGGAAUAAUGCAUCUUGUGUGCUAAAUGGAGCAAUGAGGUUCAUAUCUUCAACAAAUACCGGUCGCCAGGUGCUAGUGACUAACCAAGCUUAUUAGGAUUUGAAUGUAAUUGGGUUUAGGAGUUGUGAAUAUUCCAGAAGUUUGUGGAUGUUUACGUUAUCUGUCAAAAUACCUCAAAUCUCAAAGCGAUUAUAUAAGGAUGUAGAAAUUGGUUUGUAUGGAGAAGUUGACGGAACAAUUGACAAGCCUAGGGGAAUAUUAUAUGGGAAUGAAAAAUUAAACUUGCAAAAAAAAAACAACAUUCAUUUUGUUCCUCAUAUCAUGCAUGAUCAAUAGAAAUAUAAGAGAAUUUCGCAAUACGUCCCUAAAACAUGAGGAUUUAUCAGUAAAUUCAAGCGUAUAUGGGUAAAUUGAGAAAUUCAAGUUGGAUUUUUUUUCUUCUUAACCAUCCAAGAUUAACGAAGGUGUUCAUUUUGAAUCGUGGAAGUUGUAAUAGAUUAAUGGGGAUUACAAUAAAUGAAGUUUGGAAUAACUAAUUGAUGAACUUAGUUGAUAAA